rnacentral:rRNA from 1 species
GAUGAACGCUGGCGGCGUGCCUAAUACAUGCCAGUCGAGCGAACGGACGAGAAGCUUGCUUCUCUGAUGUUAGCGGCGGACGGGUGAGUAACACGUGGAUAACCUACCUAUAAGACUGGGAUAACUUCGGGAAACCGGAGCUAAUACCGGAUAAUAUUUUGAACCGCAUGGUUCAAAAGUGAAAGACGGUCUUGCUGUCACUUAUAGAUGGAUCCGCGCUGCAUUAGCUAGUUGGUAAGGUAACGGCUUACCAAGGCAACGAUGCAUAGCCGACCUGAGAGGGUGAUCGGCCACACUGGAACUGAGACACGGUCCAGACUCCUACGGGAGGCAGCAGUAGGGAAUCGUCCGCAAUGGGCGAAAGCAUGACGGAGCAACGCCGCGUGAGUGAUGAAGGUCUUCGGAUCGUAAAACUCUGUUAUUAGGGAAGAACAUAUGUGUAAGUAACUGUGCACAUCUUGACGGUACCUAAUCAGAAAGCCACGGCUAACUACGUG